rfam:Triticum aestivum genome assembly, contig: Triticum_aestivum_CS42_TGACv1_scaffold_434938_5DL
GUAGUACUCCCUCCGUUCAGAAUUACUUGUUCAAGAAAUGAAUGUAUCUAGAUGUAUUUUAGUUAUAGAUACAUCCAUUUUUUAUGACAAGUAAUUCCAAACGGAGGGAGUAACAA